rnacentral:rRNA from 1 species
UACGUAGGGUGCAAGCGUUGUCCGGAAUUAUUGGGCGUAAAGAGCUCGUAGGCGGUUUGUUGCGUCGGCUGUGAAAUCCCGAGGCUCAACCUCGGGUCUGCAGUCGAUACGAGCAAACUAGAGUGUUGCAGGGGAGACUGGAAUUCCUGGUGUAGCGGUGAAAUGCGCAGAUAUCAGGAGGAACACCGGUGGCGAAGGCGGGUCUCUGGGCAACAACUGACGCUGGAGGAGCGAAAGCGUCGGGGAGCGAACAGG